CCUACGGGAGGCAGCAGUGAGGAAUAUUGGUCAAUGGGCGCGAGCCUGAACCAGCCAAGUCGCGUGAGGGAAGACGGUCCUAUGGAUUGUAAACCUCUUUUGUCGGGGAGCAAGGGCGGGGACGUGUCCCGGCCCGGAGAGUACCCGGAGAAAAAGCAUCGGCUAACUCCGUGCCAGCAGCCGCGGUAAAACCGAGGAUGCGAGCGUUAUCCGGAUUUAUUGGGGUUAAAGGGUGCGUAGGCGGGCUUUUAAGUCAGCGGUAAAAAUUCGGGGCUCAAACCCGUCCGGUCGUGGAAACUGGGGGCAUUGAGUGGGCGAGAAGAAGGCGGAAUGCGUGGUGUAGCGGUGAAAUGCAUAGAUAUCACGCAGAACCCCGAUUGCGAAGGCAGCCUUCCGGCGCCCUACUGACGCUGAGGCACGAAAGUGCGGGGAUCGAACAGGAUUAGAUACCCGGGUAGUC
rnacentral:rRNA from 1 species